UGGGAUAUAGCUCAGUUGGUAGAGUACUUUCCUCACAUGCACAAGGUUCUGGGUUCAAUUCCCAGCACCACAA
rfam:Ictidomys tridecemlineatus contig068242, whole genome shotgun sequence.